UGUGCUGUCACUCAGUGGUAGAAUGCUUACCUAGCAUGUAUGAAGCCAGGGUUCCAUUCCCAGCAUCAAAA
rnacentral:tRNA from 1 species